rnacentral:misc_RNA from 1 species
CAUCAGAAUGAAAUGAUAUCAAAACAAAUCAUUCCCUCGAGAGAAAAAAAGAUAUCAAAACUAAUUGUCAUGUGAUAAUACAAAAUUUCAUGGUUAAAUACAUCUUCAGGCACGUGUACUAUCGCAUUUUUGCUUAACCACACCUGAACUAAUAUUUUUACUUUUCACACACGUAAACAUAAAAAAAAAAAAAUUGUAACACUUAAAACCCAAUUUUGCACAGCUAGCAUUACGAGUAUUUUCACGCAAGGAGAGAUGAUUGAUGAGGCCUUCUGAUGAUGACAUGGGACAUGUAAUUGCUAGUUAGCUUUGUGAAUAAAAGCGUCUGGUCAUUCUCAUGGGUUGGAGAUCAAGGCUUCGCUUUUACCUUUAGAUGAAUCAUCUUCAUAAUUCUUAUAAUUUUUUCGUUGGAUUCCACUUCAUUGGUGUGUGAUAUUACACCUGUAACAAUCUAGUCACAUUCAUCUUUUGAUUUGUCCUUUAAUUUUGCAAGAUUGAUAGGAACCCUUUUAAAUUGGGUAUUUUGUGAAAAAUAGAGUCAAGCCAAAUUAACUUUGUGUAUUCGGUGUGCCGUUGUGGAGAAACAACAACGUUGAAAGUUUCUUGGACAAGAAUGAAUCUUAGUAGAAAAGUUCUUUGGUUGCAGGCAUUAUGAGGUGAGUAAUUUUUUAUAAUGGUUGUAUUGUGAUUUUGUAAUAUUUGUUUUGUGUUUUAAUUUUACAAUUGUUGUGUGUUUAUAUGAUUUUUGUGAAAUGAAGAUUUCUGUGAUUUGUGGUUAUUUCUUCUGGUUUGAACCCUUGUGCCUGAGUAUUUGAAGAAUGUAACUAUUGAUUUGUUGUCAAGGCUAAAUGAGCAUGAAAUUGAAAAAAAGAGAGGAGGCUUGAUUGGAAGCACAUUUUGUGGAAGAAUUUUACUUGUAAAAGCAGCAAUUUUGUUGGUUUUGGUAGCUUGGUCGUUGUGCUUUACUUGACUGUGGUUUUUGUAGUAGAUUUUUGUUAGUUUUUGUAGCUUGGUUGCUAUUAAAUCUGACUGUGCUUUUUGUAGAAAAUUUUGGUUUUGUAUACCUUGUAAUUAUUAGGAUAUAUUUUGAUAGGGAUUGUAAAUGUUAGUU